rnacentral:pre_miRNA from 2 species
CGGAAGAGUCCGUUAAGCUCAGGAGGGAUAGCGCCGUCAUCGUUUCGAUUCACCUCCCUCGACAUCAUCAUCUUAUUAUUUCUCGGCGCUAUCCAUCCUGAGUUUCCCGGCUUCUUCUU